UAUCACCUCCUCUUAAGGUAUGGCCCCACAGUGUGGACCAUGACCUUUACAAGUGUCUGACCACCAGGACUAUUACUUUCCCUGUUCUGACACUAGGUCAUGGAGUUGCAUUACACUACUGAUUCAUGAGGAGCAUAUUGUCACCUGAAACCACAGCCUUUCUUCUCUUGCAGGAUCUACAGGUGCUGAAUUUUAUCUGUAAGGACAUAGGGAUAGACAUCACCAAACGCCCUGCUGAAAUUCAUAUAUCUCAUAACUCAGUGCACACUACUGACAUCUAGAAGUAAUAUCUAUUCAGACUCUGCAGAAGUCCAAGUUCAAGCAGGAGGACAGCCAUCUUUACAAAGCAAGAGCAAAUCCCAGGGAGUUGGGAUCCUCAACCUUUGUGUCAUCAUCUCUACUUUCAAUGCCUAAAAACCU